rnacentral:rRNA from 1 species
CUACGGGCCGCUGCAGUGGGGAAUAUUGCACAAUGGGCGCAAGCCUGAUGCAGCCAUGCCGCGUGUAUGAAGAAGGCCUUCGGGUUGUAAAGUACUUUCAGCGGGGAGGAAGGGAGUAAAGUUAAUACCUUUGCUCAUUGACGUUACCCGCAGAAGAAGCACCGGCUAACUCCGUGCCAGCAGCCGCGGUAAUACGGAGGGUGCAAGCGUUAAUCGGAAUUACUGGGCGUAAAGCGCACGCAGGCGGGUUGUUAAGUCAGAUGUGAAAUCCCCGGGCUCAACCUGGGAACUGCAUCUGAUACUGGCAAGCUUGAGUCUCGUAGAGGGGGGUAGAAUUCCAGGUGUAGCGGUGAGAUGCGUAGAGAUCUGGAGGAAUACCGGUGGCGAAGGCGGCCCCCUGGACGAAGACUGACGCUCAGGUGCGAAAGCGUGGGGAGCAAACAGGAUUAGAUACCCUAGUAGUC